GUUUAGUGUUUUACUCUCUCCUAAUAGAAGCAGACAUGGACAGAUGAAGAUACUGCCCGCAGGAAAUUCUUAUUCUUGGGGAUCAGCUCCUGUUGCCAUUCAAGUAGCACUAUUUGAAUGUGUGAUAUGACCUAUAAAAAAUGCAUAAUACUAGGGAUUUUAAAAUCUGUCACCAGAAAGAAAGCUUUUUUUUCUGUCCUCCCAUCUCUCAACUGUUAAUCAUUAAGUCAAACACAACUCUCCCUUCCGCUAGAUGUCACUGUAACACCAGUAAACAGUUCAUUAUCAAUGUAAUCCGUGCUGCUGUUGAUGGCACAUUUAAAUGUAACUGAUAAUGCACAGCUGAAUGAAAGAAACAUUCUGU